CUAAGGCUAGUUUAGUUAAAAACAAAUGCUUUGGGGGCAUUGGAUUCUGUAUAAAAACAGGGCUUUAGA
rnacentral:tRNA from 1 species